AUUGAACGCUGGCGGCAGGCUUAACACAUGCAAGUCGAGCGGGGUGAUGGUGCUUGCACUAUCACUUAGCGGCGGACGGGUGAGUAAUGCUUAGGAAUCUGCCUAUUAGUGGGGGACAACAUCUCGAAAGGGAUGCUAAUACCGCAUACGUCCUACGGGAGAAAGCAGGGGAUCACUUGUGACCUUGCGCUAAUAGAUGAGCCUAAGUCGGAUUUGCUAGUUGGUGGGGUAAAGGCCUACCAAGGCGACGAUCUGUAGCGGGUCGGAGAGGAUGAUCCGCCACACUGGGAAUGAGACACGGCCCAGACUCCUACGGGAGGCAGCAGUGGGGAAUAUUGGACAAUGGGGGGAACCCUGAUCCAGCCAUGCCGCGUGUGUGAAGAAGGCCUUAUGGUUGUAAAGCACUUUAAGCGAGGAGGAGGCUCUUUUGGUUAAUACCCAAGAUGAGUGGACGUUACUCGCAGAAUAAGCACCGGCUAACUCUGUGCCAGCAGCCGCAGUAA
rnacentral:rRNA from 1 species